UACGGAGGGUGCAAGCGUUAUCCGGAUUCACUGGGUUUAAAGGGUGCGUAGGCGGGUUGGUAAGUCAGUGGUGAAAUCUUCAAGCUUAACUUGGAAACUGCCGUUGAUACUAUAGGUCUUGAAUUUUCUGGAGGUUAGCGGAAUAUGUCAUGUAGCGGUGAAAUGCUUAGAUAUGACAUAGAACACCAAUUGCGAAGGCAGCUAACUACGGGAGGAUUGACACUGAGGCACGAAAGCGUGGGGAUCAAACAGG
rnacentral:rRNA from 1 species